rnacentral:rRNA from 1 species
AUUGAACGCUGGCGGCAGGCCUAACACAUGCAACUCGAGCGGAUGAAGGGAGCUUGCUCCUGGAUUCAGCGGCGGACGGGUGAGUAAUGCCUAGGAAUCUGCCUGGUAGUGGGGGAUAACGUCCGGAAACGGGCGCUAAUACCGCAUACGUCCUGAGGGAGAAAGUGGGGGAUCCUCGGACCUCACGCUAUCAGAUGAGCCUAGGUCGGAUUAGCUAGUUGGUGGGGUAAAGGCCUACCAAGGCGACGAUCCGUAACUGGUCUGAGAGGAUGAUCAGUCACACUGGAACUGAGACACGGUCCAGACUCCUACGGGAGGCAGCAGUGGGGAAUAUUGGACAAUGGGCGAAAGCCUGAUCCAGCCAUGCCGCGUGUGUGAAGAAGGUCUUCGGAUUGUAAAGCACUUUAAGUUGGGAGGAAGGGCAGUAAGUUAAUACCUUGCUGUUUUGACGUUACCAACAGAAUAAGCACCGGCUAACUUCGUG